rnacentral:lncRNA from 10 species
CACCACUCCUGUUCAACAUAGUAUUGGAAGUUCUGGCUGGGCCAAUCAGGCAAGAGAAAGAAAUAAAGCAUAUUCAAAUAGGAAGAGAGGAAAUCAAAUAGUCUGUGUUUGCAGAUGACAUGAUUGUAUAUUUAGAAAACCCCACCGUCUCAGCCCAAAAUCUCCUUAAGCUGAUCAGCAACUUCAGCAAAGUCUCAAGAUACAAAACCAAUGUGCAAAAAUCACACACAUUCCUAUACACCAAUAAUAGAGAGCCAAAUCAUGAGUGAACUCCCAUUCACAAUUGCUAUAAAGAGAAUAAAAUACCUAGGAAUCCAACUUACAAGGGAUGUGAAGGACUUCUUCAAGAACUACAAACCACUACUCAAGGAAAUAAGAGGGGGACACAAACAAAUGGAAAAACAUUCCAUGCUCAUGGAUAGGAAGAAUCAAUAUCGUGAAAAUGGCCAUACUACCCAAAGUAAUUUAUAGAUUUAAUGUUAUCCCCAUCAAGCUACCAUUGACUUUCUUCACACAAUUAGAAAGAACUACUUUAAAUUUCAUAUGGAACCAAAAAAGAGCCCGUAUAGCCAAGACAAUCCUAAGCAAAAAGAACAAAGCUGGAGGCAUCACACUACCUGACUUCAAACUAUACUACAAGGCUACAGUAACCAAAACAGCACAGUAAUGGUACCAAAACAGGUAGAUAGACCAAUGGAACAGAACAGAGCCCUCAGAAGUAACGCCACACAUCUACAACCAUCUGAUCUUUGACAAACCUGACAAAAACAAGCAAUGGGGAAAGGAUUCCCUAUUUAAUAAAUGAUGUUGGGAAAACUGGCUAGCCAUAUGCAGAAAACUGAAACUGGACCCCUUUCAUAAACCUUAUACAGAAAUUAACUCAAGAUGAAUUAAAGACUUAAACAUAAGACCUAAAACCAUGAAAACAUUAGAAUAAAACCUAGGCAAUACAAUUCAGGACAUAGGCAUGGGCAAAGACUUCAUG